rnacentral:lncRNA from 10 species
AAAAGUCCACUGUGUGUUGGGAAUAGAUUAUGAAGGGCUUUGAGUGUAGGCCCUGUAAGCAAUAGGAAGCCAUGGAACAGCCAGAAAGGUUAUGCAGAUGUAUCUUCCAUUUUGUGGAAUCGCCAUAUCUAACGCUCAGCUCUUUGCUGCCUCAAGGAAAGAAUAUGAAAGAAGCAGAAGUUAUGUAAGGGAUGUGUAUUAGUGAAAAUGUCUCAAGUUUGACCAAGAACCUGUUUCUUCCUGAUAGUGAGGAAAAGCUGCUUUGCUUUGCUAGAGGUGGUUAAUGACCUCUUUGAAGAACAGACUGACCUGGAGAAAAUUGUCAAGAAAAUAAUGCAUCGGGCCCAAA